rnacentral:rRNA from 1 species
GAGAGUUAAACAGUACGUGAAAUUGUUGAAAGGGAAACGAUUGAAGUCAGUCAUACUAACGGGAAAUCAACCUCUUGAGUUUGGUCUCGUGGGUUUCGAAGAGUUUUAAAAGCCUUCGGAUUUUCGAGAUUGGGCUCUUCUGGUGUACUUUCUCGUACGGUUAGUCAACAUCGGUUUUGAAUGUCAUAAAAUGACUGGAGGAAUGUGGCUUCGAUCUCGUAUUGAAGUGUUAUAGCCUUUGGUAGAUGUGAUGUUUGAGACCGAGGAUUGCAACGGAUACCCUUCUGGGCUAUUCGUCUGAUCUCUGAAACGUUGCCUUGAUGUCGAAAGCUUGCUUAUGAUGUUAGGGUAUUACGGUCAAAAGGUUAGAACGGAUUAAAUUCGUUAAGGAUGUUGACGUAAUGACUUUAAACGA